AUUACACAAAUAUGAAGGCGGGCUGGAACCUCUCGGGGUUACAGCCUUGCUGAAUUAUUCACCCUUGUCUUUUGCGUACUUCUUGUUUCCUUGGUGGGUUCGCCCACCACUAGGACAAACAUAAACCUUUUGUAAUUGCAAUCAGCGUCAGUAACAAAUUAAUAAUUACAACUUUCAACAACGGAUCUCUUGGUUCUGGCAUCGAUGAAGAACGCAGCGAAAUGCGAUAAGUAGUGUGAAUUGCAGAAUUCAGUGAAUCAUCGAAUCUUUGAACGCACAUUGCGCCCUUUGGUAUUCCAAAGGGCAUGCCUGUUCGAGCGUCAUUUGUACCCUCAAGCUUUGCUUGGUGUUGGGCGUCUUGUCUCUAGCUUUGCUGGAGACUCGCCUUAAAGUAAUUGGCAGCCGGCCUACUGGUUUCGGAGCGCAGCACAAGUCGCACUCUCUAUCAGCAAAGGUCUAGCAUCCAUUAAGCCUUUUUUUCAACUUUUGACCUCGGAUCAGGUAGGGAUACCCGCUGAACUUAAGCAUAUCAAUAAGCGGAGGAAAAGAAACCAACAGGGAUUGCCCUAGUAACGGCGAGUGAAGCGGCAACAGCUCAAUUUGAAAUCUGGCUCUUUUAGAGUCCGAGUUGUAAUUUGCAGAGGGCGCUUUGGCUUUUGGCAGCGGUCCAAGUUCCUUGGAACAGGA
rnacentral:rRNA from 1 species